GAGAGUGGUUCAAAAGCCCAGGAAACAGUGUAAUCACGCGGUACUGUGAUGUCAUACUGGUUAACGCUUAGCCACGUGAAGCCGGACACAAGGGCUGCACUAAUCUUUGGGCUGGAGUAGCCUGUGGUUUUUGAGGCUUCCGUGUGUCGUCGCGUUAAACGAUCGCAGAACGAUUUAUUUCUCUUUUUCACCUCGAUUUUGGCCUCUUGUGAUUUACCAAAACCAACAUGUGAAGUAACAACGCUGACGAAGGAGUUUCAUCAGUAGAGUGUGUCCUGGUAAACGUGUGCUCGGAAACAUGCAGAUUACAGUAUCUACAGAGCCGACCUUGAGGCUAGUUUUUGCAUGACAUCCACUGAUGGAUAAUCUGUUUACCUAAAAACAGGGUGGUGUUCAUACAAAGCAACUUAUUGCUCUUCUGCUUGAGAGAAAGUUACUGCUGGGGCUCUCCUGCUAAGGUUGUCUAAAGGUUGUCUUAAUUCUAAAAGUCAUUUAUCUGAAUAUGAAAGGCUUAAGUCAUAGCAAGUUUUGAAUGAAUGACUUCACAAUCUGUUUUAAUAAUGUUUAUUUACAAUGUAUUUUAUUCCACUGACCUGAAUCGUGCAGAAUUCUGGCUUGAUGUUUAGUCCACCGGUUGUCUUCUCCAACCUCUGAGUGAAGCCACCACGAGUGGUCGUGUUAACCAAUUUUUUAUCUUAGUGCACAGGUAAAGCCCAUAAAUGGCAAAAACUGAUUGGCACAGCACUUCAGGAGAAACCUGCCUGUGAUCUGCUAAGAUGCACAGAUUCAACUCUGGCCCAUUGCCAUCCCAACACCUCAUCUGCCAUCAGUUUCGUUUAGUGUCGGUCUAUUGCAAAAGUUCUUAUAAACUUUAAAUGAGACUUUGUGUUAAGCAGGGGUUUCCAAACUUUUCAUUUCACAACAUAUUAAGCCCAGGAUACACAGCAGGAUUUUUACAAUCCAAUAAGACCUUAUCACACUGUGUGACAAGGAUUGUUUAAACUUCAGCAGUAGACUGUCGAUGAAGACACCUAUUGCAUCUGAGGCUGCGACAUCCGUCAUCAGCAUGCGCUAGUGGUAAACAAAUACAGGUAUGCAGGUCGUAGAAGCAAACACGUUGUUGAUGUGCGUUGAUCAUGCUGAACUUCUUACACUGUCAUAAAACUAUCGUAGGACCACCAAUUAAGAGCCACGAUCACAGAAAUCUCCCCGAUUGUUUCACGAUUGGUAAUCUUUCAUCUGGGACAGCCAAAAAUCGUGCCGUGUGUUAUGGGCUUUAGACAGGUGUAAUCUUAUAGUAUAUCAAAACCAUUGCUAAUAAUUAAUUGGACAAACCAUCACUACAAUGCAACACUCACUAUCUUACGGUGCGACCCACAAGUGGGUCUUCACCCACAGUUUAAAAACCCUGAGUAUGAGAAAGAGUAUGUUGUAUUGUAAUUAAAGUCACAUCUAAGUGUUAUGGAGCAGUUUGUCAUUAUAUUCACCGUAUUACAUGGUUCUUUCAGCAGUUACUACGUUACAGUGCUCUUAAAGUGUCCUGGUCAGCUUUGGGUCUUGUGAAGUAAUCUAAUGAAAAUGUGAUCAAUAGCUUUGCAGUAUUUUUGUUACACUGUGGCUGUAAUCAUAUUAACACAUAGGUUAAACAUUUUAUUCAAAAUUUGGUAAACAAACUAGUCAAUAUAAUUCAUACUGUGAUGCUGGAUUAAACCUGGUCAAAUGAA